GAUCACGUUGAAAUACCGGCUCUCGUACGAUCAUCGAAGUUAAGCCACGUCGGACCUGGUCAGUAUAUAGAUGGGUAACCAUUUGGGAAUACCGGCUGGUG